rnacentral:lncRNA from 1 species
UUGGUUCGCAAAACUGAAGAUGAGGCUUCAUUCCUGGGAGAAUUGACUGUUCUUUGCCAGGAACUAUCCGGUGAGAAUGAGUUGUUAAUCCCAAGGAUGUGCGUGUAUCCUACGAUUCAUUUAGUCACUAUUUUUGGGUGAAAGUUCUGACAAAGUCCUCACUCUUUGGCCCUACUGUUUGAGCAUAAUAGACACAAUAUAGAUGGCUUGUUUGCACCAUUUUCUCUUUCUAAAUGUAGGGUGUCUAGUAUUCCUGUGGUAAUUGGCUUAGUAGAAAAGUAAAUAAGAAAAUGUAAAGUAUUCCCUCAAAAAAAUAAAAUGUAAAGUAUGUCCAGUAAACUAAAAAAAGCUAGUCCAAAGUACACCUUAUGCUAGUAAAGAUGACUGUAAGUACAUAAACAACUUUACUAUUUACCAAUAAAUUUUCGGUCUUAAAUUGAUGAUCAAUCUUCUCUGAAUUUGUUCAUACAUUAAUUUUCCCGCCUCAACUCAACAAUGUAUGCUUCGGCUGGACCCAUAUUGAACUAUUAUCCAUGUUGACGGUGUACUGAAUUUAGGAUGAUGGCUGAUGGGUCUUUGGCUUCCACGAUAUCAUUACCCUGUCCGGGAUAGUGUGAAGAACCUCCUAAACCUAGAUCGGCGAGCAGGGCCAGCAAGGCAAAAGCAAUGUGAAGAUCAUGACAAACCAAGUAGUCCAACCAUCAGAGGUUCAGGUGCCUCUAACAUUUCCAGCAGAAGGGUGAUUAUAACAACGGUGCUGCGGAGACUCCUAGACGAUUUUGCUUUGGAAGAUUUCAUCAAGUUGUACAUCGAUCAAAUUACGAUGGUUUGAGAUGGUCAGAUUCUAAAUUGCUCAGAGAUUGUAGACUGUUUCUCUUAUUCCUUUGAAAAUGUAAUAUGGAAUGAUAGACCGGUGAUUAUCUAGAAUGACAAGACUUCAAAAUUGAGAUUAUUUCUCUUGUUCCUUAAAUGACAGAUACUUGUGAAACGAAAAUUGGUCUAAACAUUGUACAAAUAACAAAUGAAGGCUAGAAUCAUGAAACUCUUUCAGUUUGUGUACACAUGUUUGAGCAUUUGUCACGAAACCACCCUAAUAUCUUCUUCGGCCGCGAUGGGUUCAACUUCUGCUCCAGUUUUGGCAUACUGAUUUCAGUUACAGCAAAGAGCAUGUGCUGCUUGGUUAUGCUCCACAUGUAGAACAAAU